rnacentral:rRNA from 1 species
CAGUUCGGAUCGGAGUCUGCAACCCGACUCCGUGAAGCUGGAUUCGCUAGUAAUCGCGCACCAGCCAUGGCGCGGUGAAUACGUUCCCGGGCCUUGUACACACCGCCCGUCAAGCCAUGGAAGCCGGGGGCGCCCGAAGCCACUUAGCUAACCCUUUUGGGAAGCGAGUGUCGAAGGUGAAAUCAAUAACUGGGGUGAAGUCGUAACAAGGUAGC